AGUCGAACGCGUUGGCCCAAUUGAUUGAUGGUGCUUGCACCUGAUUGAUUUUGGUCGCCAACGAGUGGCGGACGGGUGAGUAACACGUAGGUAACCUGCCCAGAAGCGGGGGACAACAUUUGGAAACAGAUGCUAAUACCGCAUAACAACGUUGUUCGCAUGAACAACGCUUAAAAGAUGGCUUCUCGCUAUCACUUCUGGAUGGACCUGCGGUGCAUUAGCUUGUUGGUGGGGUAAUGGCCUACCAAGGCGAUGAUGCAUAGCCGAGUUGAGAGACUGAUCGGCCACAAUGGGACUGAGACACGGCCCAUACUCCUACGGGAGGCAGCAGUAGGGAAUCUUCCACAAUGGGCGCAAGCCUGAUGGAGCAACACCGCGUGAGUGAAGAAGGGUUUCGGCUCGUAAAGCUCUGUUGUUAAAGAAGAACACGUAUGAGAGUAACUGUUCAUACGUUGACGGUAUUUAACCAGAAAGUCACGGCUAACUACGUGCCAGCAGCCGCGGUAAUACGUAGGUGGCAAGCGUUAUCCGGAUUUAUUGGGCGUAAAGAGAGUGCAGGCGGUUUUCUAAGUCUGAUGUGAAAGCCUUCGGCUUAACCGGAGAAGUGCAUCGGAAACUGGAUAACUUGAGUGCAGAAGAGGGUAGUGGAACUCCAUGUGUAGCGGUGGAAUGCGUAGAUAUAUGGAAGAACACCAGUGGCGAAGGCGGCUACCUGGUCUGCAACUGACGCUGAGACUCGAAAGCAUGGGUAGCGAACAGGAUUAGAUACCCUGGUAGUCCAUGCCGUAAACGAUGAGUGCUAGGUGUUGGAGGGUUUCCGCCCUUCAGUGCCGGAGCUAACGCAUUAAGCACUCCG
rnacentral:rRNA from 2 species